AUUAAUUCAAAUUAUUUGUAUAUAUGUGUUACGGAACUGCUUGUUUCUCUGUGGGCCGCGCCGGCUGGCUCAUCGGUCCUCUGGGUGUAGUCCCAUCCCUUGCCCGCAGUCCGCACAAUGGAUAUCAACAAAACUACAACGUCUGUAGCAAAACAGACCUACCACUAUUCAAAAUGAACCACAUAAUCGAUAACAACAAACAGCCGGAACUAUUGACAAUGAACAACACUAACAGCUGUAACAACAAGAAAAUGUAAACAAUGUCCGGUUCCGGACCCAGCGUACACGCCUUACCUGAGACGAUCACCUGAUCUCGUCUCCCUCAUUUUGGCCACUAGAUGGCCUGCAUCAGCCCGUCGGCUAUCAUGCCCCCUCUCCCCAUCAAUUGAGACUAAGCCGGACAUUUCUCUCUUCAGUAGGGUAUCCCCGUUCUGCAAUUUAGGAUUCCAAGCAAGCUGCCUUCAGCUCGUCAACAGAAUACAUUCGUUUUUUAACAACAUUAAAUUGAACAGGCGACGAAAACACUGCUGAAGUUAUUGCCAGUCAACAAAAAAAAAACAAGGGGAAGAUACAAACACCAGGCAAUUAUUGCACCAAUUGGAGAGCAAGUGACCGAUCAUAAUGGACGUAAUAAUCUUUGGGGCCUUUCCUUCACUGUUCACACUUUCGGAAAUUUUCUUAAGUGAAACUAGGCUCAGGGGUCUCGAACAUGAGUUUACGUCUGACUCUGCCUGCUACUCGGGGCGAAGAAGGAUGACAUAGAACUGACUCACUCGGAUGAUGCUGGCGGGGUCUCACCCGUGGCCGCUUCUUAACCUAUCCUCCUGGAUAGCGUCGAUGAUCAGUACGCCGAAGGUAUGGCUGACGUGUGCCGCUGCGUCGAAACCUGGCCUGGGUGUAACUAUGUUGGCCUCUCUGGUCCGAGAGCUGGUCCCUUCGUUGCCGAA